AGUACUUUCUGAAGCUGAAAUCCUUGCACUUGAUACCACGAGACGAUGUAAUACGAAGACAACCCAGCCCCCAAGAAGGCAGGGGCAAUCCUGGCAUACUUUUGUCUCCUUGUAGACUUGCUCUGCCGAGUACGGCAUGUUCUGCAAAAGUUUCAUUUCAAAUCAGAGGAAUUCUGUAAGCAAACGUCAAAGCAGUUAUUAAAGUUGCCAACUGUGGCCUAGGAAAUUGCCUGGAGAUUUGGGGAUGAUGCCUGAAGCGCAGGAGUGCUCUUGGGGCAGUGUGAUGAUGUCAGUAACGUUGUCGUGCUACCCCAGCGGUGCACCCAGGAGGCCUGUUCCCACGCCUUCCUCCCCUGCUGGCCAAGUACCCUAUAAAGCUUGUAUGUAGACAGAGUCACGAGCCCUUGGGCACGAACAAA